AGACCUGGUGUCUGAAACUUGCCACCGUAUGGUUUUACUUCAGAAAAAUACAAUGCAAUAUUCUUAAAAUAAUAAAUCUUGUUUUUCAGAUGGUAUAAAUUAGCACAGAAGACCAAUAUCUCCCUUGCAAAGGAAGUUGAUUAUCUUCAAUAGCCUCUCAAGUAAGGACCACUUUCAUUACAGGAGAUCUACAUUGUAAUCAUCUGAUGAAACAGAGGUGGGAGGAUUGUCAUGAGCUCUGUUUCUGAAAUCAGAGAGAAGCAACUACAGAUCUAUGGAGAAAAAAAAGCUAUCAAAGUGUGUUGUGAUUGCAGAGGCAUGAACCAGAAGGGCAAAGGAUCCAGCAGUAAAAAGAACAACCUGUCAUCCUUUCAGUAUUCUCUGUCCUAA
rnacentral:lncRNA from 1 species